GAUGAACGCUAUUUACAGGCUUAACACAUGCAAGUCGAGGGGCAUCAGGAAGAAAGCUUGCUUUCUUUGCUGGCGACCGGCGCACGGGUGAGUAACACGUAUCCAACCUGCCCUUUACUCGGGGAUAGCCUUUCGAAAGAAAGAUUAAUACCCGAUGGCAUAAUGAUUCCGCAUGGUUUCAUUAUUAAAGGAUUCCGGUAAAGGAUGGGGAUGCGUUCCAUUAGGUUGUUGGUGAGGUAACGGCUCACCAAGCCUUCGAUGGAUAGGGGUUCUGAGAGGAAGGUCCCCCACAUUGGAACUGAGACACGGUCCAAACUCCUACGGGAGGCAGCAGUGAGGAAUAUUGGUCAAUGGGCGCUAGCCUGAACCAGCCAAGUAGCGUGAAGGAUGAAGGCUCUAUGGGUCGUAAACUUCUUUUAUAUAAGAAUAAAGUGCAGUAUGUAUACUGUUUUGUAUGUAUUAUAUGAAUAAGGAUCGGCUAACUCCGUGCCAGCAGCCGCGGUAAUACGGAGGAUCCGAGCGUUAUCCGGAUUUAUUGGGUUUAAAGGGAGCGUAGGUGGACUGGUAAGUCAGUUGUGAAAGUUUGCGGCUCAACCGUAAAAUUGCAGUUGAUACUGUCAGUCUUGAGUACAGUAGAGGUGGGCGGAAUUCGUGGUGUAGCGGUGAAAUGCUUAGAUAUCACGAAGAACUCCGAUUGCGAAGGCAGCUCACUGGACUGCAACUGACACUGAUGCUCGAAAGUGUGGGUAUCAAACAGGAUUAGAUACCCUGGUAGUCCACACAGUAAACGAUGAAUACUCGCUGUUUGCGAUAUACAGUAAGCGGCCAAGCGAAAGCAUUAAGUAUUCCACCUGGGGAGUACGCCGGCAACGGUGAAACUCAAAGGAAUUGACGGGGGCCCGCACAAGCGGAGGAACAUGUGGUUUAAUUCGAUGAUACGCGAGGAACCUUACCCGGGCUUAAAUUGCAGUGGAAUGAUGUGGAAACAUGUCAGUGAGCAAUCACCGCUGUGAAGGUGCUGCAUGGUUGUCGUCAGCUCGUGCCGUGAGGUGUCGGCUUAAGUGCCAUAACGAGCGCAACCCUUAUCUUUAGUUACUAACAGGUUAUGCUGAGGACUCUAGAGAGACUGCCGUCGUAAGAUGUGAGGAAGGUGGGGAUGACGUCAAAUCAGCACGGCCCUUACGUCCGGGGCUACACACGUGUUACAAUGGGGGGUACAGAAGGCAGCUAGCGGGUGACCGUAUGCUAAUCCCAAAAGCCUCUCUCAGUUCGGAUCGAAGUCUGCAACCCGACUUCGUGAAGCUGGAUUCGCUAGUAAUCGCGCAUCAGCCACGGCGCGGUGAAUACGUUCCCGGGCCUUGUACACACCGCCCGUCAAGCCAUGGGAGCCGGGGGUACCUGAAGUACGUAACCGCAAGGAUCGUCCUAGGGUAAAACUGGUGACUGGGGCUAAGUCAU
rnacentral:rRNA from 1 species